GUCAGUAUCAAAAGAUGUUAGGUUUCAUGGCUUCAGCAUCCACGGUGAUUCCUUUGGGGCUGUUACACAUGAGACCGUUUCAGUUUUGGCUAAAAGCCAGAGGAUUUCAUCCGAGAGCCAAUCCUCAAAGGCAAAUAAAAGUGACGCGCCGCGGGCUUCGUACACUAUCUCUGUGGAUCAGACCCCGGUUCCUUGCCUUGGGUCCCACUCUAGGGGCACCGUGUCGUCGCAGACUGCUAACGACAGAUGCCUCCCUGUUGGGCUGGGGAGCAGUUUUGGAUGGCCACCCAGCUCAAGGGGAAUGGGGGGGUUGUCAGCUCGAUUGGCACAUCAAUUGCCUCGAGCUGAUGGCCGUAUUUCUGGCUCUGAAAUAUUUCCUCCAUCAUUUGAGAGACUGUCAUGUUCUAGUACGGGUGGACAACACAGCAACAGUCUCAUAUAUAAAUCACCAGGGGGGUCUGCGCUCACGCAAUCUGAACAAGAUAGCGAGGCAGAUUUUUCUUUGGGCCCAGGACAAGCUCCUGUCACUCAGGGCAGUUUACAUUCCGGGGCGUUUGAAUGUGGGAGCGGAUUUACUGUCCAGACAGACACUUCCGACAGGGGAAUGGAAACUCCACCCAGAGGUAGUGGAACAGAUUUGGGAAAAAUUUUACGAAGCAGAGGUGGACCUCUUCGCCUCCCUUCAGACAGCGCAAUGUCCCCUCUACUUCUUUCUGAGUCACCCAGCCCCCCAGGGUCUGCAUGCGAUGGCACACACAUUGCCCAGAAUGCGCCUGUAUGCAUUUCCUCCAGUUUCUCUGCUCCCGGGAGUCCUAGCCAGAGUUCGCCAACAAGGGUCUUGCCUCUUGCUGAUAGCGCCACGUUGGCCGAACAGGGUAUGGUUCUCGGAGAUAAUAUCUCUCCUCGACGGCUCGCCUUGGGCGAUUCCGGAGAGGAGGGACCUUCUGUCUCAGGCAGGGGGUACGAUAUUCCAUCCCAGGCCCGACCUGUGGAAUCUUCAUGUUUGGCCCCUGAAGGGUACCAGCUGAGGAACACAGGGCUGUCGCCGGGUGUUAUUGAUACCAUCCUUAGUGCUAGGGCUUCCUCCACCAGACGGAGUUAUGCCAGUAAAUGGGGUGUCUUUGACAGGUGGUGUGUGGUACACAAUGUAGAUCCGGUCAACUGCCAUAUUGCUUCAGUUCUGGACUUCAUGCAAGAGAAGUUGUCAACAGGCACAUGCCCUGCUACUCUUAAGGUUUAUGUGGCCGCUCUUUCGGCUUGCCACGCCUUGAUUGACGGGGUGCCACUCGGGAGACACCCUCUGCUCUCUCGCUUUCUUCGUGGGGCCAGACGACUGAGGCCUACAGUAAAGACCAAGAUGCCUUCUUGGGACUUAGCUAUAGUUCUCGAGGGUCUGGUUGAAACCCCCUUUGAACCUUUAGAGUCAGCGUCUGAUAGACUUCUAACUCUAAAAAUGGUUUUUCUCAUGGCAAUAACUUCUUUGAAGAGGAUUGGGGAUAUGCAGGCUCUGUCUAUCUCACCAUCAUGCUUAGACUUUGCCCCAGGGAGCGUGAAAGUGAUUCUGCAUCCUCAUCCUGAUUACCUGCCUAAGGUUCCGUUUUCGGCUGUACAUCCGGUCAUUCUAGAGGCCUUCUGUCCUCCGCCGUUCGCAACGCCGGAGCAGGAGAAAUCUUAUAGACUGUGUCCAGUCCGUGCUCUUCAGACUUACGUCCACCGCACUAGCCAGUGGCGUAAGUCGGAGCAACUGUUCGUCUGUUAUGGUGGUGGUAACAGAGGAGCAGCUGCCACCAGGCAGACCAUGUCUCACUGGGUCAGGGAUGCUAUUGCUUUGGCUUAUGAGGCGCGCGGUCAAGCUUCGCCUAUAGGUCUUAGAGCUCACUCCACAAGGGGGGUCGCCUCCUCUAGUGCUUUAGCAAGGGGUGCCCCCUUACAACGGGUUUGUGAUGCGGCAGGUUGGUCCUCUCCGCACACAUUCAUAAGAUUUUAUAGUUUGGAUGUCCAUGCUACUCCGGGCUCUCAUGUCCUUGAGUCAACAUCACAAGCUAAUGUCUGAGGCCUUCUUGUGGUUUGGUAGCACACCUGCACAACCUUAGGGGUCCAGACAUUUUCAAGCACGGCGGCGUGGGUAUUCUCGUUCCCAAUGCGCUGAGCAGCGCAGCAUCGACUGAAGCUUUCGAAAGGGAACGUUCCCGGUUACUUAGCUGUAACCUUGUUCCCUGAGAAAGCGGAACGAGAUGCUGCGCUGCAUUGCCGUACUGAAAUAUGUCCCAGGACUGCUCUUCAGACAAAAUGUCCUGUUGAUGCACCUGUGGCUUAUCUAUUUAUAGCCCCGUGUUGCGGGCGCGCUCAGAUUACGUCAUCAACCGAGGCUAUAUUACCGCCGGGUCAAUUCUAUCGACGUGUUACACACAUUAUUCACAGCUGGUCACGAACAAGACGUUUCCCAAUGCGCUGAGCAGCGCAGCAUCUCGUUCCGCUUUCUCAGGGAACAAGGUUACAGCUAAGUAACCGGGAACGUUCCCG
ensembl:lncRNA